UACAGAGGGGGCAAGCGUUGUUCGGAAUUACUGGGCGUAAAGGGCGCGUAGGCGGCCUUCUAAGUCGAACGUGAAAUCCCCGGGCUCAACCCGGGAACUGCGUCCGAUACUGGAAGGCUUGAAUCCGGGAGAGGGAUGUGGAAUUCCAGGUGUAGCGGUGAAAUGCGUAGAUAUCAGGAGGAACACCUGCGGUGUAGACGGCUUACUGGACCAUAACUGACGCUGAGGCACGAAAGCGUGGGUAGCAAACAGG
rnacentral:rRNA from 1 species